rnacentral:rRNA from 1 species
UACGAAGGGGGCUAGCGUUGCUCGGAAUCACUGGGCGUAAAGCGCACGUAGGCGGACUCUUAAGUCAGGGGUGAAAUCCCGAGGCUCAACCUCGGAACUGCCUUUGAUACUGCAAAUCUCGAGUCCGGAAGAGGUGAGUGGAAUUCCCAGUGUAGAGGUGAAAUUCGUAGAUAUUGGGAAGAACACCGGUGGCGAAGGCGGCCAUCUGGACCGCAACUGACGCUGAGGCGCGAAAGCGUGGGGAGCAAACAGG